rnacentral:rRNA from 1 species
AACGCUGGCGGUCUGCUUAACACAUGCAAGUCGAACGCAACCUUCGGGUUGAGUGGCGGACGGGUGAGUAACGCGUGAGAAUCUGCCUUGGGGUCGGGGACAACCACUGGAAACGGUGGCUAAUACCGGAUAAGCCUUUGGGUAAAAGAUUUAUUGCCCCAAGAGGAGCUCGCGUCUGAUUAGCUAGUUGGUGAGGUAAGAGCUCACCAAGGCAGCGAUCAGUAGCUGGUCUGAGAGGACGAUCAGCCACACUGGGACUGAGACACGGCCCAGACUCCUACGGGAGGCAGCAGUGGGGAAUUUUCCGCAAUGGGCGAAAGCCUGACGGAGCAAGACCGCGUGAGGGAGGAAGGCUCUUGGGUUGUAAACCUCUUUUCUCAGGGAAGAAGCUCUGACGGUACCUGAGGAAUCAGCCUCGGCUAACUCCGUGCCAGCAGCCGCGGUAAUACGGAGGAGGCAAGCGUUAUCCGGAAUUAUUGGGCGUAAAGCGUCCGCAGGUGGCGAUUCAAGUCUGCUGUCAAAGCACGGGGCUUAACUCCGUUAAGGCAGUGGAAACUGAAUAGCUAGAGUGCCGUAGGGGUAGAGGGAAUUCCCGGUGUAGCGGUGAAAUGCGUAGAGAUCGGGAAGAACAUCGGUGGCGAAAGCGCUCUACUGGACGGCAACUGACACUCAGGGACGAAAGCUAGGGGAGCGAAUGGGAUUAGAUACCCCAGUAGUCCUAGCUGUAAACGAUGGAUACUAGGUGUAGCUUGUAUCGACCCGAGCUGUGCCGAAGCUAACGCGUUAAGUAUCCCGCCUGGGGAGUACGCACGCAAGUGUGAAACUCAAAGGAAUUGACGGGGGCCCGCACAACCGGUGGAGUAUGUGGUUUAAUUCGAUGCAACGCGAAGAACCUUACCAGGGCUUGACAUGUCCGGAUAUCCCGGUGAAAGCUGGGAGCGCCUUCGGGAGCCGGAACACAGGUGGUCCAUGCCUGUCGUCAGCUCGUGUCGUGAGAUGUUGGGUUAAGUCCCGCAACGAGCGCAACCCUCGUCUUUAGUUGCCAGCAUUAAGUUGGGCACUCUAGAGAGACUGCCGGUGACAAACCGGAGGAAGGUGGGGAUGACCUCAAGUCAGCAUGCCCCUUACGCUCUGGGCGACAC